AGCUCCUGAAGAGAGGACUGAGGGAAGGCAGGAUCUCUCCCAUCAACAGCUGCCUGAAGGUCUCUCGCUGAGCGAAAGGAGAACCGGCUUCUGAUUGACCCUGAGAGGGAGGCAUUUCCCCUUCUCACACACUAAUCCAGUUUAUUUGGGUUGAUUCCCUGUGUUUGGUUUAUGGACUGUCCCUUAAUGGGGGAGACUCAGAACUAACCAAGGCAUGAGAGGAGGCAGCUGCCGACCCAAGAGCGGGAGAGUUACCAUGCCACAAAGAGGUGCCUGGCGCACUGACACUUUUUGAGACUAGAUCCCAGGG